UGUUUACUUCCGGUGUUAGCGCCCCUUUGACGAACGAGGGAAAGUUCAAACAAAGCAGCACUUACUUUUUUACAAAACAGUGUUUUAAUAUCUAGUGUAAUGUAUAAACCACUUUCUUUAUUAGAUAGAUGGAUCCAAGAAAACAACGUGCUGGUAAACAAAUGGAAGCAGCAAGAAAGAGGAGGAGAUGCCUCGAGCCGAGACCAGAGCCAGGCCCAUCUGAGAUUGUGUUCCUCUGAGUUUCACAAACUUUUAAUGAAAAUCCAAGGUGUCCCUCCUCUUGCAGAUCACACACAGUUGGAGCUGACAGUGGUGUACAAUGCCUGUGUGUGUUCUGUAGCUCAGUCUCACUUCUCAGAGGCUGAGCUGUUGCUCACACGAGCCACAGAGAGAGUUCUCCAGAUGUCAGGAGUUGACUUUGUUGCUUCAGACCCUUCUGUGUUUUGGAGAACAGUUCUCAAAUCAGUGGGAAACACCGCUUUGAAUCGCUUUGUACUGUACCUCCUCUGUCUGCAGUGGGCAAUUUGGCUUUCAACUUGUCAGCUGAAAACUAUACAGGUUUUUCAGGAUGAGCUGUUCUCUGUGUUUGAGAGACUCUCUGCUGGAGUUCCUGAUGAUGGGAAGAGCGAGCCAAAUGGAAAGUCCUCUGAUUUUCCACGGCUGGUGAUGGACCCAAGAAUUCUUAUUGAAUUAUUGCAGAUCUGCACUUUGAUUGCCCAAGGUGCAGAAAGCUUGAGUGAGGGCCGGAGUUCAGAGGCGUUGUCUGGUCUGCAGACAGCUUCCUCCCUGCCUGCUCCCAGAACUCUAGUAGCGUACACACACCUCCUCUCAGGCCUUUGCCUCGCCCAUAUGAGCCGCCCUCAGAUGGCGUUGCAGUGUUACAGGAAAGCACUGGAGACAGACUCCCGGUGUGUGUGUGCUCUGUACCAGAGCAUGCUCAUCUACAGACAGCUUGGCAACACACAGGCUGAGAUACAAGCUCUUCAUUUGCUGCACUCAACUUUGAUGUUGCCCUCUGCCACAGAGCCUGCUCCGGCUGGUGCUCAUCUCCUCUCUCCGUCCCUACUGCUGCACAGCCAAUCACUGAGCAGCCUGCUCUCAGUUCCCUCUGCCCUCUCUGUCCUUCACAGCCUAGCCUUGAAGUGUGUGCUCCAUGGCAGGGUGUCAGAGGGUGUAGAAUAUUAUUUGGACCUGCUGGCUGCUCUUCACUCAGAAGAUCAACAUGGAAUGCAUGCUGAGGGCCCUCCCCUCCCAAGGUUGCCCGAGCUUUACCUGCAGGCUGGCGCUGCUUUGCUCAUGGCCCAGCGGCCAGCUGAUUGCAUGGCACUGUGUGAUGAAGUCAUCACUACAACACUGGACCUGCUGCCAGAGAAGCUGGUGUUGGAAGAGCCAGAAGAAAAGUGUGAGGCUCUGUGUGCAGAGGGUGAGGAUAAGGUGGCGACGGUGCUCUGGGCGGGGGCUGCCUACAUGCUCCAGGGUCACUGUCACGCUCACCUGAAGGACUGGAAACAAGCUGUGACUCACUACACAAGAUGUGUGAACCUGCUGGGGAAAGUGUGCUUUAAAAAGAGAGAUUUCCAACCACAGAUUCCCGCUGCAGAUAUGGUUGGCAAGCAGGGGAUAGAUCUGUGUGUCCUGCAGAGGCUGAAGGGGCUCUCACUAGCUGGCAGGGGCAUCAGCUUCAUUCAGACAGACCAACUUAGAGAGGCACUGAGAGACCUCCAGCUCAGCAUGCAUGCAUUCCCAGGUAUACACACCACAGCUGUAACUUAAAGGGGACUUAUUAUGCUCUUCCUUAUUGUCAUGAUUUCUUAUACAGUUAUCUGCCUCAGGCACACUACUACAAAUGUUUACAAUACAUAGGCUACACUGCUACAGGCUACAUGUAGCUCCACGCUAACAUCAGGGAAACUUGCAAUUAUAUUAAUUAAUUAAUUUCUCCUCAAUUUCAGACCAUAUUCCUGAUGGAACAUGUCAUUGUAAAGAUUUUUGUUUAGAAGCUGAUAUUGGUGUUUUUCACAGCAGACAGUGCCACAGUACUACAUUACAGUCACUCUCCUGGCAAUCUUGUAAUCCAACAUCUAUCAGUCUGAUGAGGAUAAAGCCUCAGAGGGCAAGGGCCAAUAUUUCUGGAGCUCCAGUGUAACCCAACAAUUAAAGACGGCAGAGACGGCAUUAAGGACAGCACUCUAUUUAAAAUGGCCAGAGGACACUUAGGGCAAGACACCCUUCUUCAUCAUGUAUUCUAGUGAUUUUACAAACAAUAAACAGAGGUAAAGUUAAUCAUAGGCGGCCGCAACCAGCAGAGCCAAUACAACAAGAAGACCCUUGUGGGGGGAGGCGCAACCUUUCCUAGCACAGGGAGCUCUGUUGUAGCCAGCAGAUAUCCAGGCCAAUACUUCCUUUUCCAUGCAUUGCUCAUUGUUUAGUUUGAUUAACAACUUGAGACAGGUCCAGAAAACAUUUGGCAAAUCUUUAUAAAGAGAUAUCUGCAUAUAAUUGCAGUAAAAUUAGAAAAGAGUCAGCUUUUAACUGUCAGCUAAUAGCUGAUGGGUUCCAAGAUUGCAUUUCAGCCAAUGUUUUCCACAUUGUUUGAUCAUGUUCAAACGUGAUUUGUCAAUACUACUCGGACUACGAACAGAAACCAGUAUGCUUCAGAAAUCAGAAUCUUGUACCAUUGCCUACAGAUUUGUCAUACAUAUGCAGAAUCUGUUUAUAGAGAUUAUAUUCCUGAUUGCAAUGAUGAUGCAUAGACGCAAAGAGGUGGAAGACCCAGAAAUACUGACCAAACAGAGCAGACUGGGCACAAAAAUUGAGCAUCUCUGACAGGGGAGUGUGUGGGUGCAGGGCUCUGGUGUGGUGAGGUGCUGUGGAGGCUUGGCAGGCGACGGGAGGCCGCAGCUUGUUGGGAAAAGACCUGG